CUACGGGGCGCUGCAGUGAGGAAUAUUGCACAAUGGGGGGAACCCUGAUGCAGCAACGCCGCGUGGAGGAUGACGCAUUUCGGUUUGUAAACUCCUUUUAUAUGUCAAGAAAAUGACGGUAGCAUAUGAAUAAGCACCGGCUAACUCCGUGCCAGCAGCCGCGGUAAUACGGAGGGUGCAAGCGUUACUCGGGAUCACUGGGCGUAAAGGACGCGUAGGCGGGUUGGAAAGUCAGGUGUGAAAUCCUACAGCUUAACUGUAGAACUGCACUUGAAACUUCUAAUCUAGAGUAUGGGAGGGGGAGAUGGAAUUAGUGGUGUAGGGGUAACAUCCGUAGAUAUCACUAGGAAUACCUAAAGCGAAGGCGAUCUCCUGGAACAUUACUGACGCUAAGGCGUGAAAGCGUGGGGAGCAAACAGGAUUAGAUACCCUCGUAGUC
rnacentral:rRNA from 1 species